rnacentral:rRNA from 1 species
GACGAACGCUGGCGGCGUGCUUACACAUGCAAGUCGAACGGAAAGGCCCUGCUUUUGUGGGGUGCUCGAGUGGCGAACGGGUGAGUAACACGUGAGUAACCUGCCCUUGACUUUGGGAUAACUUCAGGAAACUGGGGCUAAUACCGGAUAGGAGCUCCUGCUGCAUGGUGGGGGUUGGAAAGUUUCGGCGGUUGGGGAUGGACUCGCGGCUUAUCAGCUUGUUGGUGGGGUAGUGGCUUACCAAGGCUUUGACGGGUAGCCGGCCUGAGAGGGUGACCGGCCACAUUGGGACUGAGAUACGGCCCAGACUCCUACGGGAGGCAGCAGUGGGGAAUAUUGCACAAUGGGCGGAAGCCUGAUGCAGCAACGCCGCGUGCGGGAUGACGGCCUUCGGGUUGUAAACCGCUUUCGCCUGUGACGAAGCGUGAGUGACGGUAAUGGGUAAAGAAGCACCGGCUAACUACGU